AACCCAGAAACCACUAGGCUGCAUGAGGGCUAAACUGACCUCCAUCUGAACCACACAUUGAGUCAGUGAGAUCUCAAUCUUCACAAGACUGUCAAUCCCUCUGAUGUGUGGAAACAGGCGCACUCCGGACCCAUGUCUCAGAUUAGAUGGGCAGAUAUUUUCAUCUUUAAAAUUUGUUGUGCCCCAGGUGGGGCAUGUUCCAAGCUUUCAUUGGUGCCAUCGAUAAUAAACACAGUGGUGGCAGUAGGGGUAAGUGCGUGAGGAGAGAUGGCAUUUAUUGAGUUCUAACCCCAUACUCCACCUUACACUGCAGACGUUAAGAGCUCACAUUGGCUAAAUAUUUACUAACCUACUAGAUACCUCAGACAAAGUUCAGGAUGAGAAUUCAUGGGAAUUCCACUAAGAAUCAGCUGUACCAAGUCCUUACUGCCAGGAGCUUGUGUUCCGAGCAAGAAAAAAGAAAACAAGAAAGAAGAAAGAAAAAGAAGAAUUAGAGCAAGUAAUGGAAGAAAAAACUCCAUUUUACAGAUGCAGAGAUUGAGGGCCACAAAAGUUAUGAAAUCCAAUCCAAUGCUCAGAGUUGCUCAGCGAUGAAGCAGACAUUAGAGCCAAAGUUUGUCUCAUGGCAUGUCUUCUCCAAGAGCUUCUGGGAAAAGGUCUACAGAAAGCUGCCAUGAACUGCGGCCCAGCCAUGCCUCCCUGCCUUGGAGCCAACUGAGUAUGGACUGAAACCUCCAAAAACUGUAAGAAAUAAACCUUUCCUUUCCCAAA